UACGAAGGGGGCUAGCGUUGCUCGGAAUCACUGGGCGUAAAGCGCACGUAGGCGGAUUCUUAAGUCGGUGGUGAAAUCCUGGAGCUCAACUCCAGAACUGCCUUCGAUACUGAGAGUCUUGAGUUCGGGAGAGGUGAGUGGAACUGCGAGUGUAGAGGUGAAAUUCGUAGAUAUUCGCAAGAACACCAGUGGCGAAGGCGGCUCACUGGCCCGAUACUGACGCUGAGGUGCGAAAGCGUGGGGAGCGAACAGG
rnacentral:rRNA from 1 species